rnacentral:rRNA from 1 species
GAGUUUGAUCCUGGCUCAGAUUGAACGCUGGCGGCAGGCCUAACACAUGCAAGUCGAGCGGCAGCACGGGUACUUGUACCUGGUGGCGAGCGGCGGACGGGUGAGUAAUGCCUAGGAAUCUGCCUGGUAGUGGGGGAUAACGCUCGGAAACGGACGCUAAUACCGCAUACGUCCUACGGGAGAAAGCAGGGGACCUUCGGGCCUUGCGCUAUCAGAUGAGCCUAGGUCGGAUUAGCUAGUUGGUGAGGUAAUGGCUCACCAAGGCGACGAUCCGUAACUGGUCUGAGAGGAUGAUCAGUCACACUGGAACUGAGACACGGUCCAGACUCCUACGGGAGGCAGCAGUGGGGAAUAUUGGACAAUGGGCGAAAGCCUGAUCCAGCCAUGCCGCGUGUGUGAAGAAGGUCUUCGGAUUGUAAAGCACUUUAAGUUGGGAGGAAGGGCAGUUACCUAAUACGUAAUUGUUUUGACGUUACCGACAGAAUAAGCACCGGCUAACUCUGUGCCAGCAGCCGCGGUAAUACAGAGGGUGCAAGCGUUAAUCGGAAUUACUGGGCGUAAAGCGCGCGUAGGUGGUUCGUUAAGUUGGAUGUGAAAUCCCCGGGCUCAACCUGGGAACUGCAUUCAAAACUGACGAGCUAGAGUAUGGUAGAGGGUGGUGGAAUUUCCUGUGUAGCGGUGAAAUGCGUAGAUAUAGGAAGGAACACCAGUGGCGAAGGCGACCACCUGGACUGAUACUGACACUGAGGUGCGAAGGCGUGGGGAGCAAACAGGAUUAGAUACCCUGGUAGUCCACGCCG